rnacentral:rRNA from 1 species
AACUGCAGCAGAACGAUAGAGAGAUCUGAGGCCCUUCGGGGCUGCUGUGGAGGUGCUGCAUGGUGUCGUCAGCUCGUGCCGUGAGGUGUCGGCUUAAGUGCCAUAACGAGCGCAACCCUUGCCAUUAGUUACCCAGCAUGUAGUGAUGGGGACUCUAGUGGGACUGCCACCGCAAGGUGAGAGGAAGGGGGGGAUGACGUCAAAUCAGCACGGCCCUUACGUCCGGGGCGACACACGUGUUACAAUGGGAGUUACAGAGGGGCACUACCUGGUGACAGGAUGGGAAUCUCGAAAAGCUCUCUCAGUCCGGAUCGGAGUCUGCAACCCGACUCCGUGAAGCUGGAUUCGCUAGUAAUCGCGCAUCAGCCAUGGCGCGGUGAAUACGUUCCCGGGCCUUGUACACACCGCCCGUCAAGCCAUGAAAGCCGGGGGCGCCUGAAGUCCGUGACCGCGAGGGUCGGCCUAGGGUGAAACCGGUGAUGGGGCUAAGUCGUAACAAGGUAACCUA